UGGGGAAUAUUGCACAAUGGGGGAAAGCCCUGAUGCAGCGACGCCGCGUGAAGGAUGAAGUAUUUCGGUAUGUAAACUUCUAUCAGCAGGGAAGAAAAUGACGGUACCUGACUAAGAAGCCCCGGCUAACUACGUGCCAGCAGCCGCGGUAAUACGUAGGGGGCAAGCGUUAUCCGGAUUUACUGGGUGUAAAGGGAGCGUAGACGGCAUGGCAAGUCUGAUGUGAAAACCCGGGGCUCAACCCCGGGACUGCAUUGGAAACUGUCAGGCUAGAGUGUCGGAGAGGCAAGUGGAAUUCCUAGUGUAGCGGUGAAAUGCGUAGAUAUUAGGAGGAACACCAGUGGCGAAGGCGGCUUACUGGACGAUGACUGACGUUGAGGCUCGAAAGCGUGGGGAGCAAACAGGAUUAGAUACCC
rnacentral:rRNA from 1 species